rnacentral:tRNA from 1 species
GGAAGCGUGGCAGAGCGGUUUAUUGCGCAGGUCUCGAAAACGGCCAUGGGCCGUUUCGCCGACGAAUGUCGGCACAAACCGGAAGCCACGGUAUCGUGGUUCGAGAGUUCGAAUCUCUCCGCUUCCU